CGGCGUGCCUAAAACAUACAAGUCGAGCGACCGGCCGGACGCUUGCUCCGCUUGUUUAGCGGCGGACGGGUGAGUAACCAGUGGGUAACCCGCCCGUAAGACCGGGAUAAGUCCGGGAAACCGGAGCUAAUCCCGGAUAACACCGAAGACCGCAUGGUCUUUGGUUGAAAGGCGGCUUCGGGUACCCCUUACGGAUGGGCCCGCGGCGCAUUAGCUAGUUGGUGAGGUAACGGCUCACCAAGGCGACGAUGCGUACCCGGCCUGAGAGGGUGACCGGCCCCACUGGGACUGAAACACGGCCCAGACUCCUACGGGAGGCAGCAGUAGGGAAUCUUCCGCAAUGGACGAAAGUCUGACGGA
rnacentral:rRNA from 1 species